AGUGAACGCUGGCGGCGUGCUUAACACAUGCAAGUCGAACGAGUAAGUGCUGUAGUAAUACAGAUUACUGCUAGUGGCAGACGGGUGAGUAAUACAUGGGAAUCUGCCUUGAAGUCUGGGAUAACUGUUGGAAACGACAGCUAAUACCGGAUAUUGCCGAGAGGUGAAAGAUUUAUCGCUUCAAGAUGAGCCCAUGCAAGAUUAGCUAGUUGGUGAGGUAAUGGCUCACCAAGGCGAAGAUCUUUAGCUGGUCUAAGAGGAUGAUCAGCCACACUGGAACUGAGACACGGUCCAGACUCCUACGGGAGGCAGCAGUGGGGAAUAUUGGACAAUGGGUGAAAGCUUGAUCCAGCGACGCCGCGUGAGUGAAGAAGGCCUUCGGGUUGUAAAGCUCUUUUAGUAGGGAAGAUGAUGACGGUACCUACAGAAAAAGCUCCGGCUAACUUCGUGCCAGCAGCCGCGGUAA
rnacentral:rRNA from 1 species